AGUGAACGCUGGCGGUAGGCCUAACACAUGCAAGUCGAACGGCAGCACAGGAGAGCUUGCUCUCUGGGUGGCGAGUGGCGGACGGGUGAGGAAUACAUCGGAAUCUACCUUUUCGUGGGGGAUAACGUAGGGAAACUUACGCUAAUACCGCAUACGACCUACGGGUGAAAGUGGGGGACCGCAAGGCCUCACGCGAUUAGAUGAGCCGAUGUCCGAUUAGCUAGUUGGCGGGGUAAUGGCCCACCAAGGCGACGAUCGGUAGCUGGUCUGAGAGGAUGAUCAGCCACACUGGAACUGAGACACGGUCCAGACUCCUACGGGAGGCAGCAGUGGGGAAUAUUGGACAAUGGGCGCAAGCCUGAUCCAGCCAUACCGCGUGGGUGAAGAAGGCCUUCGGGUUGUAAAGCCCUUUUGUUGGGAAAGAAAUCCUGUCGAUUAAUACUCGGCGGGGGUGACGGUACCCAAAGAAUAAGCACCGGCUAACUUCGUGCCAGCCGCCGCUGUAAAAC
rnacentral:rRNA from 1 species